ACAAACAAAUCUAAAUAAAAAAAACAUAUUAUAGUGCAUGUAUGCAUAUCACAGGUUAGAUAAAUUGAUCCAAAAAGCAUGUAUCUCAUACAAUUUCAUCAACUAGUCAAAAUAAUCCUGAAUCUGUAUUGUACAAGUGGCUUUAAUACCACUGGUGAAUAGCCAAUACAUCCAUUAGCAUAGAGAAAAAAUUAUUAUUGUGACCACAACCAAGGAUUCAUGUACAAGGAACAAACCCAGGUUUUG
rnacentral:lncRNA from 1 species